AUACGGAGGAUCCGAGCGUUAUCCGGAUUUAUUGGGUUUAAAGGGUGCGCAGGCGGCCAUUUAAGUCAGCGGUUAAAUCGUGGGGCUCAACCCCAUUCUGCCGUUGAUACUGGGUGGCUUGAUUGCGGUCGAGGUUGGCGGAAUUCGUUGUGUAGCGGUGAAAGGCAUAGAUAUGACGAAGAACACCGAUUGCGUAGGCAACUGACCAGACCGCAAAUGACGCUGAUGCACGAAAGUGCGGGGAUCGAACAGGAUUAGAUGCCCUGGUAGUCGGCACAGUAAACGAUGAAUACUUGUUUUCGGCGAUAUAAUGUCGGAGGCAAAGCGAAAGCGAUAAGUAUUCCACCUGGGGAGUACGCCGGCAACGGUGAAACUCAAAGGAAUUGACGGGG
rnacentral:rRNA from 1 species